AUGUUAACUGCUCUUUUUCUGCUCGCUGGUGAGGAACAGCCUCAGUUCCAUAUCUUGAGGAAGCUGUCCCAGGAUCCUGUGCAACAUGCCAUGCCAUCUGAGGACACUCCGAUACAGCUCACUCUGUUGUCGUGACCAGCCAGCACUCCUGGACCACGGCACAGAAGAAAAAAACAUGACGCAAGCUUUAAGUGUGUCCCAGAUGUUGACGUUGAAGUCGUCAUAGCCAGCCAGUAACAGGCGGCCAGACAGGGAUGGGGCCAGGGAGGUCACCCCGCACAUGAUGCUGGAGUCCUGGUUGUAGAUGGAGCACAUGUUGUCCAGACCGCCACAAGCCACUAGGUUCCCUGAAGGUGCAUAGGCACAAGUCAUCACCCACGACGACUUGAGAGGGAUGGCAUUCACCUGGGGACACACAAAAGACAGUUCUGUAGUGCUCACUCAAGCAUGAUGACGACACAAGCAGGUUGACUGAGCUGGCUGAGCUGACCCUGGAUAUUUCGUAAAAAUGGAGUUGUGGCACUGUGAGCCACGAGAUGGAGCAUAAACUGAGAGAAAACCAAAACGAGGGGCAAAGGAUUUGUUUGCACAGACGCAGGCCAGGAUAAAGACACACACACGGAGACUGUUAUGUUAUUACAAGGUAUGUUAUGUUAUUUUGGGUUACUAUUUAUAUCAUAACAGCUUUUAUAUUAUUAUUUGUAGCCUAGAUUAUAACCAGGAUUGCUUUAGUUCUUCUACUGUUUCUAAAGUCAUAUGUUGUUUGUACCAUUAAAUUAUUAGGAGAGUAGAUUUUGUUUUUAGUCUUUAAA